UAAACAUCAAAUAUAUGGUGAGUGACUUCGAGAGUUAUAGAGUAGAAUUUCGAUUAUGUUAUUUUAUUGCGUGAUCACUGAGCAGAAUUCUUCAGCAACCCUGACGAGUGUAUUUCAUUGCUUAAACAUGUAUAACAAUGAUUCAGAAAGUUACAGAAAGAAGAACACACUGAACCAACUUUGCAGUGAAACUUUCAGUGAUGAAACAACUUUGCAGUGAAACUUUCAAUGAUGAAAACCAGUUUUGGGUGUGCGGUCAUUUCGCAUCAAAAAAGAGAAUUCCUCCGUGUCAUAUAAAUUGGCUGUUUAAAUGGACGUUUUGAUUUACCUUUGUUAUUUUUACAUUCAUUACUAGAGAGUAUCAUGUUUAUAUCUCCUGUAGAUACACUCAGAAUAAAUGAAAGAUAAAGG